AAACAGAGCAGCGCAUGUCAAAAGAAGAAAAAGAAAAAAGAACAGAGCAGCCAGUCGCCCCUUCCCGACCCCGUGACGCUAGGGUUCCUAGCCGCCGCCGCUGCAACCGGCCUCCGGUCACCCUCCAGCCAACGACGCCGCCUGGAGCAGCGGUCCCAAGUCAGCCCAGAUGGAAGCCGACGCCGCCUCCUCGCUCAAUCCCCCGGCGCCAGAGGAAGCCUUACAAGAGGAUCCCUCGCCAGUGCGCUUCUACUCCUCCUGCGCGGCUGCCCCUGCGAGUGCGGUGAUGUCUCCCGGAGCAAGGGAGGCGGCGGCGGCGAUGGAGGCAGUGGAGCGAGACGCCGCCGCCAUCGCCGAGAGCUACGCCUCCCUAUUCGCCUCCCUCCGCAUCACACUUUCCAAUGUUACCUCGACGUCAGCGGAUAACAUGGAGUGCUUGGGCGAAGUUGUAGGCCGCCUCCAGGAGUCAGCACUUGAAGCGUCUUCUAGAGGGAAUAAGUACAUCCAUUCGUGCCUGAGGUUAAAUGAGGAAAUGCGAGGCUUGGAAAGCCUAAGUAUGCAGCUAUCAUGCGGAAGAUCGUUGAUUCACUAGAUUUGGCUGUUGAUCGGCUGCUCCACCUCCCGUAGUUCAUGCAUACUAUCAGCAGCUUCUACAAGUGCUGCAGGAACUUCUAAUGAAAUCUUUAUUCACCAAGUAGCUUUCGCAUUUGAAGAGGCAAUCAAGUACUGUAAAUCUUAAGUGGCGUGUACAAGCAACGGAGAAGUUUUCCCCUUCCUCGGCAUGAUGAAAUUCUCCCAACCCUUGACUUUAUUGCUCUUCCUUGUGUGUAUUUGGGAACAAUGAUAUGUAUUUAUUGAGAAAUAACUAUUUGCAACUCUUCCAUCCUUUACCUUCUUGCAUAUUUGUAUCUCGGGUUGUGUUUGUAGAGUGAGUCAUCCAAUGGACACACAAGUUUGUUUUCCUCUGUAAAAAAUAAAAUAAAAAAAUAAACACACUUUAUUUUCAUAA